GAUGACCGCUGGCGGCGUGCCUAAUACAUGCAAGUCGAGCGAACAGAUGAGGAGCUUGCUCCUCUGACGUUAGCGGCGGACGGGUGAGUACCACGUGGAUAACCUACCUAUAAGACUGGGAUAACUUCGGGAAACCGGAGCUAAUACCGGAUAAUAUAUUGAACCGCAUGGUUCAAUAGUGAAAGACGGUUUUGCUGGCACUUAUAGAUGGAUCCGCGCCGCAUUAGCUAGUUGGUAAGGUAACGGCUUACCAAGGCAACGAUGCGUAGCCGACCUGAGAGGGUGAUCGGCCACACUGGAACUGAGACACGGUCCAGACUCCUACGGGAGGCAGCAGUAGGGAAUCUUCCGCAAUGGGCGAAAGCCUGACGGAGCAACGCCGCGUGAGUGAUGAAGGUCUUCGGAUCGUAAAACUCUGUUACUAGGGAAGAACAAAUGUGUAAGUAACUAUGCACGUCUUGACGGUACCUAAUCAGAAAGCCACGGCUAACUACGUG
rnacentral:rRNA from 1 species